ACUUUGUCACUUGAUCAGAUAAGAGUAGAUAAGAGUAGCUAAGGCUACCACUUAUCACUUUCUCACUUGAUCAGAUAACUGUAGCUAAGGCUAACACUUAUCACUUUGUCACUUGAUCAGAUAAGUAUAGCACUUAUCACUUUUUCACUUGAUCAGAUAAGUGUAGCUAAAGCUACCACUUAUCACUUUGUCUCUUGAUCAGAUAAGUGUAGCACUUAUCACUUUUUCACUUGAUCAGAUAAGUGUAGCUAAUGCUACCACUUAUCACUUUCUCACUUGAUCAGAUAAGUGUAGCUAAUGC
rnacentral:lncRNA from 1 species